CUCAAGUUUCUGCCAUGACCUAAAAAACUUUGUGGAUUCUGUAGCCCAUCUCACCUAUACCCACCCUCCACUCCAGCCCCAUGGCCUCUUUGUUGCUCUUCAAAUGCACCAAGCACACUCUAAUCCUAGGACUCUGCACUUGCUGAUCCCCCCAUCUGGCAAUCUCCUCCAAACACCCCCAGCAAAAUCUUCAAAUGUGGCCACAAUGAAGAUUGGAUAAGGGAACUGCGAGAGAGAGGGCAAGGCCAUUCAUCACCCUACUCCGAAAGCAACUCUACCAAUGGAGCCUGAUGAGGGACUCCAGGAAUGGAUGGCUAUGGAACAGGCACGAUAAGACACCUUUC